ACGGCGACGCGGAGCCGCUAUGGAGGCGUCGUCGCUGCCCGCCGCGCUGGACCUGGUGUCCGGCGGCGGCGCGGGGCUGAGCCCGGAGAAGCGGGCGGUGCUGGGGCCUUCGCUGCUGCUCCUCCAGCGCGACUACCGCUUCGAGCGGGUCUGGUUCUGGGGCUGCAUCCAGGGCGUGUGCGGCGCCUACUACAUCGCCGAGGGGCUGGGCCCCGACCGCGCCGCACCCCGCAGCCGCCUCUACAGCUUGAACUGUGUGGAAUGGAGCCUCCUGCCACCGGUGACCGAGGAGAUGGUUACGCAGGCUGGGCAGCUGAAGGGCCGUUUCCAGGGGGAUCCUUCUUUUGAGUACGAGUACACUGAGAGAAAUGCAGAAGAUGCUGAAAGAUUGUUUGAAGAUGGUAAGGAGCCCAUGAUCAAGGAAGAGGCCCGUCUUGUAGCUACGAUAGAACAGAUAGACAGAGCAGUUGGUAUCAUCCCCCGGGGGGCAUUUGUGAAGACUCCUCUUGGGUCUGUGAGUGAAAACAGGAACUUUGAAGGUCUUUCUUUGGCGGAGGCAAAAAGGUUAAGUUCCUAUUUCCAUUUUACUGAGCCUGUUAACCUGAAGAAUAAAACCCUGCUGGAAAAGGCUGACCUGGACCCAUCCACUGACUUUCUAGACUCUCUGGAGCAUGAUAUCCCACAAGUUUUAUCCUAGUGGAAGGAGUUUGGCUGCAACAACCUGAUGGGAGAAUUUAUUCAAUGGCUUAAAUUAAAUGCAAUUUCUUCUGCUGGCUUCCUUGCCUCUUGUGAUGGGAAAAACUAGAGGGGUGACUGUCUUCGUGGGACAGAAGCCAAAGUUGAUAAUUUUUGAAUGUGUUUAUUUCAUCAAGCCCUUGUAUUCCGGGGAAACGAAAAAUAACUCCGAAUACAAUGUCCAUGUACACAAGAGAGGAAAAAGAAAGUGAUUUUCUUUCUGUGAGUUGGUUCAGCCAUGGUCUGUGAUUUGUCAGCACUGCGGAGGGUCGUCCAGUUUAGACAGAACUGGAUGUUUCCAAGGAACGGAACGGAAUGUCACCGGCCAUUGAAGAAUGGCUCGCUUUCCUCUUGAAUUAAAAUUAAACCUGCGCUCUCAAGUAUGGGUCUGGUCAGGAGCAAGGGAGUGUCGUAUUUUAGAUGAGAGACUUAUGUCCUAAUUGCUUACGGCCUCUAGAGAUUUUAUGGGACUGUUCUCAAAGAAAUGGUAUUCCCUUG